CGGGGUGUAGCGCAGCCUGGUAGCGCACUUGCAUGGGGUGCAAGGGGUCGCGAGUUCGAAUCCCGCCAUCCCGA
rnacentral:tRNA from 1 species